rnacentral:lncRNA from 1 species
UAGUCGAGUGUGGGUUAGAUAUUUCAGACUCCGAUCAGUCUCCUGUAUUCGGUGGGGUCAGUGGGAGAGUGUGAUCCAUCCUUGCAGAAUUUGGAGCGAGCUUCUAGAGCAGCUUGAGCUGAGCUACAAUCCUUCAUGCCAAACUGCUCAAGGAUCUUCAAAGCAUAACUUUUUUGCCCCAAUUUAAUCUUAGUGUCUUAUUGAAUGACUUCAAUUCCCAGAAAGUGUUAAGAAACCCUAGGUCGAAGCAAGGAGCGGGCGCCGCAAACAUGAAGUCCGCUUUCAUCUCCGGGGGGACGGGCUUCUCUUUCUUCCUCCGUCUGGGCACCGCCCUCUUUUGCUUCCUGUCCCCCUUAUCUCCGCUUGGCGGCGGUUCCUACUUUGCUCACGGCUGCCGGGCCUCUUCUUCGUCGACUUAUCCUCGGGCGUCCCCAUCUCCGCCUACGUCGAACAUUUCAUGAUCUCAGUCAGGUUCGACAGCGUAAAAAGGUGAUCGCCGGAGAGAUCGGUGUCUUCAGGAACGAGGUCGGCAUGCCGGCGGAAACCUACCAGAUGCUUCGCUCGUGGAGGUGGAGACCGUGUUCACCACCGCCGCUGGUAAAGAGCUCGGUCUUGCUGCUGCUGUAGGUCCCUCCUGGUU